UAAAAAUCAUGAUCAUAUAGGACUUUAUUUAGGAUCAAUACAUUUAAACAAUCAACAAAAAUGAACAUAUAUAGGCAAAUACAUUCGUAGAAUUAGUUUACCCCCAGGUGAGGUGCAUCCCAGAUCGGCGUCCUAAUGUGACCAGAGCGCAUGUGCAGUGAAGCUCCGCCCCCACGUGACAUCGCAGCAUGCCGUCAUCGUGUCCGUUACUAUGGCGACGCGGCACACACG